GACGAACGCUGGCGGCGCGCUUAACACAUGCGAGUCGAACGGAAAGGCCUGCUUUCCCUUGUGGAUUGCGGGUACUCGAGUGGCGAACGGGUGAGUAACACGUGAGUGAUCUGCCCCCAACCUGGGUAUAAGCCUGGGAAACUGGGUCUAAUUCCCGAUAGGACUGCAGGGUGGUGCCUGUGGUGGAAAACGAUUUUCUAGUGGUUGGGGAUGAGCUCGCGGCCUAUCAGCUUGUUGGUGGGGUAAUGGCCUACCAAGGCGGCGACGGGUAGCCGGCCUGAGAGGGUGGACGGCCACAUUGGGACUGAGAUACGGCCCAGACUCCUACGGGAGGCAGCAGUGGGGAAUAUUGCACAAUGGGCGGAAGCCUGAUGCAGCGACGCCGCGUGGGGGAUGACGGCCUUCGGGUUGUAAACUCCUUUCGACCGCGAGGAAGCCACCUGGUUGGAAGGGUGGUGACGGUAGUGGUAGAAGAAGCACCGGCUAACUACGUG
rnacentral:rRNA from 1 species